CCGCCCCCGUCUAUUUCUCCAUCCUUUGGGUACCUCAAUCCUCCUUUCUUGUCCCUCCAACACCUCCCAGGCCACCCCAACUUGCACCCCAUCCCUACCUUUCCUCCAUCUAUGCCUCUUCCCAUAGCAACCCCUCAGCCCCCAUCUCUUACCAACACCCUCCAGCCUGCAACAACCUUCCCCAACCCACAAGCCCUGUAUCCCUCAGUUCAUUCCUCCACUCAUGGGACUCCAUAGCCACAGUCUAUCUCCAACAUCCUCCCAGCUCACAACAACCUGUGCCUCUAUCCAUGCCUCCCUCCCAACACUCCCAGCCCAACACAACCUGCACCCCACUCUGUCCCUAGAUCUGUGGGCCCCCAGUGCCCUUUUGUCCUUUCUCCAACAUGCAUCCCUAUCCCUACCUUACUCCCCCCCUCCCUCCAUCCAUCCAUGGGGCCCCUCAGCCCUUCUCUCUCCUUCCUCCACAACACAAACCCUUCAUAGGACAUGGGCAGGGAUGCUAGGUGUACAUCCCCACAGGCCAGGUCUCGGGAGCCAUGGAGAAGUAGGAGUGGACGAAAAACAUGCGGAGUAGUGGAUGGUAAAGUGGAGUGGUGACUGGGAUCAGUCUCUGUUCAUCGAGUGGGACUGGAGAGGGAGGCAGAAAUGAGGGCAAGAUUAAAGGCACCAAUAGAGCUCUGUAUAAUGAUAGUUCUUGUUUGGCUUUAUUAGUUUGCAGAGGAAUCGUCCAGGAGCUCUAGCCAGAUAAGAAUAUGGCAGAAAUGGACCUGAGCAGCCUGGACAUCCUUCUAAGGAUACAUAAACAGUCCUCAUGUUUCUGCCUUCUGCAUCGCUGGCUUACCAAGGGAAAAGAAAUCAAACAUCAGAGUUUACUUUCCUCAUCGGAUGGAAAGCGAGCGAGAGCAGUGAGCCCGCGAGCAUUGUUGAUGCAAGUGAAGAGCCGGCCGGUUGGCAGUUGCUACUGUCAGUGAGAUACAUGUCUGGUUUCGAGAGGGCUCUGCUCAUGACCCGCCUGGCUCCAGAUAGGGCCGCCCCAUUGACUGGGGCUGGGUUUGUGAGAAAUGCUUCCUGACCAGCUGUGCUUACGAGAGAGACAAGAUCCCCAUUUUCAGGGGCUGCUCAGUUCUCUGGCCAGGAGCGGUGUGUCCUCCACAGCAGAAGGUUGCAUCUAGGAGGAUGACUCCAGUUUGCAGAGGAAUCGUCCAGGAGCCCAACCGGACAAGAAUAUGGCAGAAGUGGACCUGAGCAGCCUGGACAUCCUUCUAAGGAGACACGAAUAGUCCUCAUGUUUCCGCUUUCUGCAUCACGGGCUAUGAGUAAGAGUACCAAGGAAAAUGAAGUCGCGCAUCAAAGUCUACUGCUCUGAUGCGAUGGAAAGCGAGCAAGAGCGUCGAGACUCUGACCAUUGUUGAUGCCACGCAAAAGCUGUCCAUCUGGAAGCCGAGGAGAUGCUGCUGUCAGCGAGAUAAGUGUCUGGUUUGGGGAGGGCUCUGCUCACGCCCAACCCGAGUCCAGGUAGGGAAGCCCAGUACGGUAAGGCUGGGUUUGUAUGAAAAGGUUCCUGACUAGCUGUGGUCACGAGGGAGAAAAGGUCCCUGUUUUCAGAGGUUGCUCAUUUUUCUGGUCAGGAACAGUGUCUCCUGCACAGGGGGAGGUUGGAUCCAGGAGGAUGACUCAGGUGAUGAGUUGCUUGCUUUCCUCCCAUUUGUCUCUCCCUUCUCUAGUGUGUUGGCCAACUUUCUCACUCUCUUCCCUCUCCUCUCCUCGUGUCGUCUCACUUCGUAAGACACGGGCAGACAUGUUAGGUGUGCAUCCCUACAGGCUAGGUCUCGGGAUCCAUGGAGUAGCGGGAGCUGACGAAAAUCAUGCGUAGCAGUGGCUGUUGGUGUUAACUCUGUCUCUGUUGAUGGAGUGGGGCUGAGGUAGAUUGGGUUGGAGAGGGAUGCCAGGUUGAGGGCAAGAUUCGAAGCACCAGUAGAGCUUUGUGUAGUGAUGGCUCAUGCUUGGCUUUUGCAGCUGCUCUUCCAAAGCAAUUUUCCAGGAGUCCUAGACUGAGGAGAAAGUGGCAGAAGUGGACAUGAACAAUCCUCAGCUUUCUGACUCCCGCACAACUGGCUGCUCAUAUACACCCCUUGAACCAAAGGGACUUGCUCUUCACUGACUGACUAUGCCUGGCAGUGCAGGAAAUGGUCAACUGAAGGUAAUGUAUCUUUGGAAGAACUCAGGGUAAGUUUUUAAAGUGAAGAGGUCUGGUUAUGCUCGUGCUGGUUAAUCUUAAGUCUGUAUUAAUACUAUAGUUUAGUUAUAUUAGUAAAUUGUUGAAGUUGUUUAAAGAUUGUAAUAGUCAAUAGUUGAUCAAUAUAUAAUGACUGUAUAUGUUUUUGUGCCUUGCUGGGAAUGGGUACAGUGCUGGUGAACCUAGUAGCUUUGCAUGUCGCUGUGCCUGUCUUUUAUAUAAGUUACCAUCAUAAAAGUCAAUAAAUGCUUAUAAGUUGUUAUACAAAGUUAUAGGUAGGUUAAGGUUAGUAAAAUAUAGUUAGUCCAUGUAUUAAUAUUGCAUAUAGAAUUGUAUUUGUUGGGGUGGGUGCAGUACAUGUAAGGUUACUAGGCAAUCAGUAAUAGUAACAUUGCAUGCGCUUGUAACUAUUUUCAAUAUUAUUUACCUUUUAUAUGUGCACUUAUAGGAAUAGGCAGUUAUUGCAUAAUAUUACUUGUACUUGUCUCCAGUAUAAUUUGCCAUUUGUAUUAAUCCUCACUCAGUGCUGGUCUUUAA